ACGGGAGGCAGCAGUGGGGAAUAUUGGACAAUGGGCGCAAGCCUGAUCCAGCCAUGCCGCGUGUGUGAUGAAGGCCUUAGGGUUGUAAAGCACUUUUGUCCGGGACGAUAAUGACGGUACCGGAAGAAUAAGCCCCGGCUAACUUCGUGCCAGCAGCCGCGGUAAUACGAAGGGGGCUAGCGUUGCUCGGAAUCACUGGGCGUAAAGGGCGCGUAGGCGGCCGUUUAAGUCGGGGGUGAAAGCCUGUGGCUCAACCACAGAAUUGCCUUCGAUACUGGACGGCUUGAGUAUGGUAGAGGUUGGUGGAACUGCGAGUGUAGAGGUGAAAUUCGUAGAUAUUCGCAAGAACACCGGUGGCGAAGGCGGCCAACUGGACCAUUACUGACGCUGAGGCGCGAAAGCGUGGGGAGCAAACAGGAUUAGAUACCCUGGUA
rnacentral:rRNA from 1 species